rnacentral:rRNA from 1 species
CAGUAGCCACGGUAAUACAGAGGGUGCAAGCGUUAAUCGGAAUUACUGGGCGUAAAGCGCGCGUAGGUGGUUUGUUAAGUUGGAUGUGAAAUCCCCGGGCUCAACCUGGGAACUGCAUCCAAAACUGGCAAGCUAGAGUAUGGUAGAGGGUGGUGGAAUUUCCUGUGUAGCGGUGAAAUGCGUAGAUAUAGGAAGGAACACCAGUGGCGAAGGCGACCACCUGGACUGAUACUGACACUGAGGUGCGAAAGCGUGGGGAGCAAACAGGAUUAGAGACCCCCGUAGUCCCUGUCUCUUAUAC